UAGAGACCGGAAUGCGAGGGAUGCGGGGCAACCCAAAACCCGAGUUCUCUGGAGUCGACAGGCGAGAAAAGCUGAUGGCGGAGUUUAUAGAUGUCCGUACCGGAAACCGACACAGGUGGGUGAGGCGAGCAGCCUCAGGUGAACGAGUGAAACGUGGUCAAGGAACUCGGCAUAAUGAUCCCGUAACUUCGGAAGAAGGGAUGCCAGAGAGGGUGUAGGGUACACCGAAGCUCUCCCUGGUCGCAGCGAAUCGGCCCAAGCGACUGUUUAGCAAAAACACAGGUGUGUGCCAAGCCGCACAAGGCGCCGUAUACACACUGACGCCUGCCCGGUGCCGGAAGGUUAAGGGGAGAGGUUAGCCGCAAGGCGAAGCUUUGAGCCGAAGCCCCGGUAAACGGCGGCCGUAACAAUAACGGUCCUAAGGUAGCGAAAUUCCUUGUCGGGUAAGUUCCGACCUGCACGAAUGGCGUAACGACUUGGGCACUGUCUCGACCACGUGCUCGGCGAAAUGGCAGUCUCGGUGAGGAUUCCGAGUCCCCGCGACAGUACAAAAAGACCCCAUGCACCUUUACUGUAGCUUGUCAUUGGUCGUUGCACAUCGCUGUGUAGCAUAGGUGGGAGGCGUUGAUCCGUGGGCGCUAGCUUACGGGGAGCCAUCAGUGAAAUACCACCCUGCGUCGUGCGACGCCCUCACCACGGCGGGAACACCCCGUCUGGGACCGUGGCAGGUGGGCAGUUUGACUGGGGCGGUCGCCUCCGAAACAGUAACGGAGGCGCGCGCAAGGUUGGCUCAGCGCGGACGGUACUCGCGCUUCUAGAGUGUAACGGCAGAAGCCAGCCUGACGGUGAGAUCGACGGAUCGAGCCGCCACGAAAGUGGGCCGUAGUGAUCCGGUAGCCCGGGGUGGAGCGGCUAUCGCGCAACGGAUAAAAGGUACGCUGGGGAUAACAGGCUUAUCGCGCCCGAGAGUUCACAUCGACGGCGCGGUUUGGCACCUCGAUGUCGGCUUAUCACAUCCUGGGGCUGGAGAAGGUCCCAAGGGUCCGGCUUUUCGCCGGUUAAAGUGGUACAUGAGCUGGGUUCAGAACGUCGUGAGACAGUUCGGUCUGUAUCCGUCGUGGGCGUUGGAGAGUUGAGGGGAGCGGACUCUAGUACGAGAGGACCGAGUCGGACGACCCGCUCGUGUCCCGGUUGUCCUGCCAAGGGCACCGCCGGGUAGCGAUGGUCGGCUGUGAUAACCGCUGAAAGCAUCUAAGUGGGAAGCACGCCCCAAGAUGAACUCUCCCGAGGCCUUGAGCCUCUUGAAGGGCCGGGGAAGACCACCCCGUCGAUAGGCCGCCCGUGGACGUCCCGCAAGGGAUUCCAAGCGCAGCGGUCCUAAUCGCCCGUAUGGCUUGACUAC
rnacentral:rRNA from 1 species